rnacentral:lncRNA from 1 species
AAGGGGCAGCACGCCUCACAGGGGUUGGAGGGACAGGGUGGUGUGGAGACCAGGGCGGGGUCCUGAGGUGACACAGGCCUCUGCAGUGAAACUGUCAAAGUGAAGUGAAGCUGGCAUCCAAGCCAGAACCCCCGGGCACCUUUGGGAAUAUGCACCCUCCUUGGGCCUACAGUGGAGAUUUCUAGAACACAGAAAUAUCCACCGUAGAUUUCUGCUCACGGCACCAGUCGACUCCCUAUUCUCCCUCAGAAAGGGCUCUGGCGAAG